rnacentral:tRNA from 1 species
GGCGACAUAGCCAAGUGGUAAGGCAGAGGACUGCAAAUCCUUUACUCCCCGGUUCGAAUCCGGGUGUCGCCUCCA